rnacentral:misc_RNA from 1 species
UUUUUUUUUUAAGUCUCAAACAGCUUCAAUAUCAUUAUAUGGAAGGUAUGUCACAACGAAUACAGAUAACAGAAGAAAAGAGACAUAAUUAUUCUAGAUCAAUCCCCCACCAAAAGUACUUCUAAUAUAUGACAAGGAAUGUUACAAUAAGAAGAAAAAAAAACUCUCAAAACCGAAUAAACACCCUCUACAUAGGAGAAAGUUACAUUGAGCAGCACGUCGGUUGGCUCUCUAUAUGGAGAUCAUAAGAAUUCCAAUUCGUUCACGAAGGAAGUUGUGCUUUGUGUGUGAAUAGGGCUCCAACAAUGACUCUAGGCUAGGAUCGGUACCCGUCUUCAAAGUGAAGGUUCUAUCUGGUGGUGCUCAAGGUUCCGCAGUACAAUUCUUGCAAAAAUUUUGGC